UAGCUAGUUGGUAGGGUAAAGGCCUACCAAUGCGACGAUCGGUAGCUGGUCUGAGAGGAUGAUCAGCCACACUGGGACUGAGACACGGCCCAGACUCCUACGGGAGGCAGCAGUGGGGAAUAUUGGACAAUGGGGGCAACCCUGAUCCAGCAAUGCCGCGUGUGUGAAGAAGGCCUGAGGGUUGUAAAGCACUUUCAGUGGGGAGGAGGAUUGAUAGGUUAAGAGCUAAUUAAUUGGACGUUACCCACAGAAGAAGCACCGGCUAACUCCGUGCCAGCAGCCGCGGUAAUACGGAGGGUGCGAGCGUUAAUCGGAAUUACUGGGCGUAAAGGGUGCGUAGGUGGUUUAUUAAGUUAACUGUGAAAUUCCUGGGCUUAACCUGGGCAGGUCAGUUAAGACUGAUAGACUUUGAGUAUAGGAGAGGGUAGUGGAAUUUCCGGUGUAGCGGUGAAAUGCGUAGAGAUCGGAAGGAACAUCGGUGGCGAAGGCGGCUACCUGGCCUAAUACUGACACUGAGGCACGAAAGCGUGGGUAGCAAACAGGAUUAGAUACCCUGGUAGUCCACGCCGUAAACGAUGUCAACUAGCUGUUAGUCAUAUAAAUGUGAUUAGUGGCGC
rnacentral:rRNA from 1 species